rnacentral:rRNA from 1 species
AGAGUUUGAUCAUGGCUCAGGACGAACGCUGGCGGCGUGCUUAACACAUGCAAGUCACGGGGGCUCGCAAGGGCAACCGGCGAACGGGUGCGUAACACGUGAGCAACUUACCGAUUUGUGGGGGAUAGCCGGCCCAACGGCCGGGUAAUACCGCAUACGCUCUUCGGGUGGAGUCACCUGAAGAGGAAACCUCCGGGGCAAAUCGAGGGGCUCGCGGCCUAUCAGCUAGUUGGUGCGGGUAACGGCCCACCAAGGCGAUGACGGGUAGCUGGUCUGAGAGGAUGGCCAGCCACAUUGGGACUGAGAAACGGCCCAGGCUCCUACGGGAGGCAGCAGUGGGGGAAUCUUGCGCAAUGGCCGAAAGGCUGACGCAGCGACGCCGCGUGUGGGAGGAAGCUCUUCGGGGUGUAAACCACUGUUGCCUGGGACGAACGUCAGGAUUUUUCCUGAUUGACGGUACCGGGUGAGGAAGCACCGGCUAACUCUGUGCCAGCAGCCGCGGUAAUACAGAGGGUGCGAGCGUUGUCCGGAAUCACUGGGCGUAAAGGGCGCGUAGGUGGCCACUGUAAGGCCGUGGUGAAAGUCCGGGGCUCAACCCCGGAUCUGCCAAGGCGACUGCAGGGCUUGGGCACCGUAGAGGCAGAUGGAAUUCCGGGUGUAGCGGUGGAAUGCGUAGAGAUCCGGAAGAACACCGGUGGCGAAGGCGGUCUGCUGGGCGGUGGGGGCGCAAGCCCCUCUUAGCCGACACUGAGNNNCGACAGCGUGGNNACAAACAGGAUUAGAUACCCUAGUAGUCC